CAUAAAUACACUGCUGUGUGUGUGUGUUCUGUGUGAGGAUGGUUUGAGGGUGCUGUUUGUGUGUGUGUGUGUAAGGGUGCUGUUUGUGUGUGUGUGUAAGGGUGCUGUUUGUGUGUGUGUGUAAGGGUCCUGUUUGUGUGUGUGUGUGUGUGUGUGUGUGUAAGGGUCCUGUUAGUGUGCUGUGUGUAUGUGUGAGGGUGCUGUUUGUGUGUGUGCUGUAUCUGUGUGUGUGGGUGGAGGUGGGGGUACAUUACUUAAUAUCCCCCCUCCUUUAUUACCUUAUGUAGGGAGGGGGGAUCCUUUCUGCCUUCCCUGGUGUUCCAGAUGAGGUGGGGGCAGAUCAGGUAAUAUCCCCCCUCCCUUGUUACCUUAUGUAGGGAGGUGGGAUUCUUGUUCCUGCUGCCAUCCUUCCCUGGUGGUCCAGUGGUGAGUGAACUCGAGCCUGCAGGGCUAGAGUUCACUCUCGCGAUAUCUGAGCGUUGCCACGGCAAUGCUCAGAUCUCGCGAGAGGAACCUGGCGGAGCUGCUGGCAAGAGCUCCCCAGGUCCUCUCCUGCCUCCCUCACUGCUUGUGGGUCGGUGAGGGGAGGCCCCUGCCGGUCUCACUCCAUAGGCGUGCCGCGGGGAUUAGGGUGUGCCCACCGUGCACACACCUAUGUUCAUGGCUAAGUACCAUUGAGGUGACCGGGGACACACAAAGUCCUCAUGCCGUAUAUAGUUCCAUAACGAUCGCGGCUAUGUACCACUGAGGACAAUUUGUGGGUUUCUUCAUGCGAACAGCCGCCAUUGAGCUAGUGUUUGCUUCCAUUUGAAUGAAUGGAAAGUGCCGAACCAGGGGGACCCAGGGAAAGCUGCUUAUGGCAGCUGGGGAGGUUAUCUCCCGAACAAGGUCUCUGACCUGGACCAUAGUCAGUGGGCUGGAGGCCAGCUUCCACACUCCUCCAGAAGUUUGUGGCAAACAUCCAUGGUAAAGAGCGUUUGUCACAGUGGUUAUGGUGUCAGUCAUUAGAUGUCAUUGACCGGUUGUCUGACAUGUCUAUUUCAGAAUAAUUUGACUCUUAGCAUGCUCUGUCGCUAGUUGGAAGUGCACACUUGUCUUAACUUUCUAAAGAAGACCCAGUUUAGAAAGUAGGCCUAAACUUGCCAUUUUUAUCAAUGAAAACUAUUUUGAAAUUAUAAUAUUUAAAUCUUUGAUGAGUGUGCUUGAUAGCGGAGGUAUAAAAUUACUCUAUCUACAUAUCUAACAUGGACUGGUAGACUGGCUGCCAUUAAAAUGAUCAUAGUCCCUGAAUUUCAAUAUUUGUUCUGCACUCUACCCAUCCACCUCCCGACCGCAUACCUUAAGGAGGCACAACAGUUACUUAACCAAUUUACCUGGGAACAUAAGAUACCAAGAGUGAAAGCACAUAUCCUAUAUCAAAAAACAGCUGAAGGAGGGAUGAAUGCACGAAAUGUCCGCGUGUACUACCAGGCAGCUAUUCUGAACUGCAUGAUACCAAUCCAUACCCAUAAGGGGCUAGGGGGCUCUUUGGGGACCCUUAGAUGAGCAUUACACUAGCUCGAGCCCAGACCAGAACGUAUUAAUUUAUUUUGGCACUAUCAGAGGGAUCCCUGAGCCCACUCCGAUCUCAACAUUAGGGGGGUUUUUAUGUGGACCGGACAGUGCUAGAUAUAGACUUUCAGUUAUAUAUAUUUAUAUAUAUUUAUUUCUUCUGAGUUUGUUUGGAUGCACACGAACAGUGAAUACUAUACACUGUUAAAUGUAACUAAAGGUCUAUCCUUUUUUUGUUUCUGGCAAGAUUUUGUUACAUUUAUUUUCGAUACAGGCAUCCCUGUGCUACCUCUAUAUAACUUUUUGUGACUUAAUCAUUGUCAUAUACAGUUAUUUUGUAUCUUUAGGACACAACUCACCCUGUAUACUUUAUUUCAUUGUAAAAACCGUUGGUUUUUGCAUAGUAUUAGGAGAAGGAUCCUGAAAACUUUUGAACAGGACUUCUUUUUGAUUAUAUAGGCACAUCUAGCGUGAGUUGUUUUUUUUCCCUACAGGAUUUUAACCCUUAGGGGUCAUUGUUAAUAAUAUACUUUGUUCUAUUUUCUCUCAAAAUUUAUAGCAUAUACUAUUUUUAACUAUACUAUUAAAAGCUAUAUUUUAAUUUAGGGGCACUCCUUGUCUUCCCCUUCUUGUUUUCACUACUGUGGUAGUCUCGGGUUAACCCCUAAUUGAGUGCAUCCCCUUGCUUCCAGUUUCUUUUCUAAUUAUUCUUCAAUCCAUACCCACAGCUCACCACCUCAAUGGGUGGCUUUAGAAAAUUAUGUACUACACCCUUGUGUCCCUGAUCUGGUCACCUAAACAUUGCAGACCUAAGAACGCAAAUACAUUGCCAACCACAGCCACGACACUCCACGUCUGGGACCAGAACAAACAAAUAUGCUGUUCACAGAACCCACACUCCAAAGCCAUGGCAGUAUCCGCCCUAACUUCAAUGAUUCCAGACUUCAAUUAUAAAAUCUGGGUACGGCUUCAUACAUCAGCUAUACCAGGACACCCACCUUUUAACAUUCCCGGAGAUGCAGUGCCGGUAUGGCCUCCCAUCCAUAGCCCACUUCUCACACAGACAAAUCCACUCAUGGUUGACGAAACAGCACAGGGAAAAAAGUGACAAUGUAAAUGAACUUCGGCUGACGAGCUUUGAAAGAAUUCUUCUCAAAUUGACACCAGCGCAUAAAACCUUCUCAACUCUAUAUGCCAAUAUAUUACAAUAUAACCUCACACUCAGGUAUCCCAUUGUCAUGGCAUGGGGAAAAGAUUUUGGGCAAACCAUGCCUGCCACAACGUGGAGGGAGAUAUUUCUCACUCUUAAAAAACUCACACUCCGCGCCAACCAUACUGAAUUAUCCAGAAAAAUCCUAUACAGGUGGUACUUAGUACCCACACGCCUUAAGCGAAUAUACCCCGACGCCUCUGAUAGAUGCUGGCGAUGCACCUCUGGAGCCGGAUGUAUGAUCCACAUCUGGUGGACAUGCCCAAUACUCCUUACUUGGCAACGAUAACCGCGCUGAUCCACGACAGCACAGGUGUUAAUUUGCCAAAAACUCCCGACACCAGAUCAACAUAGCGGCCCUAGCUCUGAUCAGCAGAUCAUGGAAAAAACGGAGGCGCCAACCAUACAGCAAUGUAGACAGCUUAUAGACGCGACCCGAUUCUAUGAAUUAGCAAGCAGAACAGCUCUCUCCACCAGGGCAAUCUUUUGGAGUAGGGCUUGGCAGGCUGCAGUCCCCCCUCUCCCCCUGUCAUAUCUAAGGACACUGUUUGAAGUCUCGACAGCCGAGUUCAUCAUAGAUACCACAAAAUAUGUAAUAAUAAUGUACACAAAUGUGAGCUAUCCUAGGGGGUAGCUCACCCGGGUAAACAAGGUCACACCAAGAUACUCGACCCUCUUCCAAGAGAGGCACAAAAGCACCCCUUCCACGCUUCUGAUAGGACCCCUUAUCGACCAAGAUAGUUACUGGAUAACUUCAGCUUCAGCUCUCUAUUCUACUUCCCCCCCCCCCCCCCCCCGAUCCCAAGUUGGAAAAAAAAUAAAAACAAACUCUGUUCAAGUGGACUACUGUGUUGAAUAUGUAUGUAACUGCAUAACUGAAACAUUUCUCUUCUGUAUACAUAUACAACUGCAUAAUCUGCGAACUUUGUAACACCAAUGACCACUGUGAACUUGAAAACUGCUUAGUUAAAAAAAAAAAAAAAUUACUCUAUCUCUACUCACGUGAGAAGGUACCCAAUACAGCAAGGUAAGUGUCAAACUAUUAAAGGUUUUGAAUUACUACCAGUGGAUGGAACCUGAGGACUCCUUGUACAUUACUUCUAAUCAUCCUAAAUGAUGGGGAACAGCAGUGAUAAGAGUAUAGUCAGAGAACAGGACAAAAUCUGGAAAUUAGAAGAUCAUAAAGUCACUAAUGCCAACCAAAGUCUGAGAACCCAAAAUGGAUAAUCUUGAAUUACUGGUUAAAAAAUAAUUAUAUUCAGGGACACACUAAAGGGCUAUGGGAAACCUGAAGGUAAAGAGCAUGUUGCUGAACUACAACUGCUGAUUUGUUCUACAAUGUAAUUACAGGACCCACCAUUGUGACAUGCUAAAAGAACUAAACUGGCUGUCACUGGAAUCCAGACACACCUUUCAUCUUUCCAGCCUUGUGUUUAAGAGCUUUUCUGGGAAGCUCCCAACCUACCUGUGCAGAAUGAUCUCCCUGGCUGUUCCCACCUCCUAUAACCUCCGAUCUAGUACAGCACUUUAUUUACCUCAAUACAAAAAGAAAGCAGCCCAAUCCUCCUUUUCCUACAGAGCACUGCAAUUAUGGAAUGACCUCCCACAUACUUUCAAAUCUUCCCCAAGCCUAAAGUCCUUUAAGAGAUCCCUCUCUCCAUACCUCAAAACAGAAUGCACGUGUCAUGGUUGAUUAUAUAUUUCCUACCUGUUCUGUGUUAAAUUUUGUAUAUAUUGUGUAUUAAUAUUGUUUUUAUAUUUUAUUGUAUCAAUGCAAUGUUUUGUGGACCCAGGACAUACUUGAAAACGAGAGAAAUCUCAAUGUAUCUUUCC